rnacentral:rRNA from 1 species
CCUACGGGAGGCAGCAGUGGGGAAUAUUGCACAAUGGGGGAAACCCUGAUGCAGCGACGCCGCGUGAGCGAUGAAGUAUUUCGGUAUGUAAAGCUCUAUCAGUAGGGAAGAAAAUGAUGGUACCUGACUAAGAAGCUCCGGCUAAUUCCGUGCCAGCAGCCGCGGUAAUACGUAGGGGGCAAGCGUUAUCCGGAUUUACUGGGUGUAAAGGGAGCGUAGACGGUCCUGCAAGCCAGAUGUGAAAGCCCGGGGCUCAACCCCAGGACUGCAUUUGAAACUGUAAGGCUAGAGUAUCGGAGAGGCAGGCGGAAUUCGUGGUGUAGCGGUGAAAUGCGUAGAUAUUAGGAAGAACACCGAUGGCGAAGGCAGCCUGCUGGACGAUAACUGACGUUGAGGCUCGAAAGCGUGGGGAGCAAACAGGAUUAGAUACCCGGGUAGUC